CCCCUGCUUAUGUGCACGAGCUCUCUUUCUCAAAAUAAAUUAAUAGACUUAAAAAGUUUAAGACUCACUAGCAAAAUAGUGCAAAAUACCAAGUUAGCUUGACAAAAAUCUCUGCAUUUGGGAAAAAGAUUUUUAAACUGAAUAUUCUGAGAAAGCAUUUAAAACACAUAAAGGUCUCAAAUCUUUGUGAUAGGCAGUUCUGAAAGAAAGACCCUGAGGUGAUACAAUGACCAAAGAAAUAAUGGAAGAAUACCUCUGAGCUGAAGAAAGCCUUGAAUUUCAAGAUCAAAGGGGACCAGAAAGUCUUCACCAGGAAUAUAUUUAAAAAGCAGGAAAACCUGCAUGAAUUUCUGCAUGCAUCCUGAUGACUUUUCUAAGUAUUCAGGAUAAAGAAAAAGCCCUGCAAGGUAGAAAAACAAGUAAUCUUUAGAGAAGAACCAAUGACAUUUGCAUCAGACAAAUGCACUCUGACAUUGGAUGCCAGAAGAUAAUGGAGAAAUGUCACCCAAGAGCUGAGAGAAAUGGAAUAGGUGUAGAAAGUAGGUUUGGGCAGUGAAGCCAAAUACAAUCUAGAGUUAACGCUAAAUAGUUAUAAUUAUACUUGUAAACCUUACUUAAAUGAUAAAUAUUUUUGAAAUAAUUGCACAUGUUAAAAAAUAUGGAUGCAAAGUUCUAGCUUAUUUCAAGAAGAUUUGGGGGAUUGAGCUGUAGGAAGAGAGAAGUGAAACCUAUAGCAAUUGUACUAUAUAUUUACCAGUAGGGAUUUAUUAAUAAAUAUUUUCACAUUAAUAGAAAUAUAUAAGUCCAAACAUGCUUUUGCAAAAUUUUAAGACUAAUUCCUGGUAAAAUAGGAAUGGUGCUUUUACUUCUAAAUUACUGGAAGUAAAGAGGAACAAAGAAAAUGUGAUUAAUACAGAAAAAAACGGGGAAAAGGAAAUAAGGAAGCGUAACAUAGAAAACAGCUAAUCAUUUCUGGGUGAAAGAAUAAAUCAAGACUGCCAUUAAAGACUAGAAAAUAAUGAGAUGACACUAUUCUAAACUUAGAGGAUUUGAAGUUUAGAAGUUUGGACAGUCUUUAA